rnacentral:misc_RNA from 1 species
CAAAUCACGGUUCUGUGCGUGCUACACAUCCGUUGCUAAUCAAGACCCACACGCACACGCACAUACAAUCAUACACGGCCAUACUCUCUUCUCCCUCCCCCUUCCUUUGCACGUACUAAAGAUGCCACCGAAGCGUGGUGCUAUGGCGCAGGCAAUCCGCGACGCCUUCACUGAGGAGGCGAGUUUGACCGUAGUGGAAGAGUGGUCCUCGAAGGUGGUGAGUGACCUCGAGGCGCGCGCCACGAACGCACAUCACGCACGCCAGGGAGUGUUGGCGAAGCCCUACACGGCCGACGCCGCGGAAACGGUGCCAGUCACAGUCGUGGCGUCGCUUCGUGAAUUCCAGGGGCAGCUGCACGACAUCUAUCGCGCCGCCGAGACGAUCCGCACCGUCAUCGCGUGCCGAAUUCCUGAGCUAAAGGCGGAGGACAACCUCGGCGUCGAGGUGCAGAUGGCCGUCUUGAAAAUGAUCGACUCGCUGGAAGGGAAGCUGCUCGGUAGCUCCAGUGGCGACAAGGAAGGCGGUGCGCCAGGUGUGGCGGGCAUGUACGCGGCACGCGAGUACCUUGCCGCGCGCGGGUCUGUGGAAGACAAGGUACUCGGCAACGUCAGCGGCGACGACAAAAAGACAAAGUCCGCGGCACCGUCGGUGCUGAUGGAGCUUCAACAGAUUGAUGCGGAUGCGCUGUUGAAGCUAGAGCUCAGCGCCACGCAGAUCUCGACGCAGAUCCGCUCCUUCAUCAACGCUUACGCAGUCAACUGGAAGAAGCUAAUCCAGCCGCGCUCCAACGCAUCGGAGAAGAGCAUCAGCUAGGUGCUGUAUCAGUGACGGAAAAAGAGGCGCCCUCGAGGUGUGGAGGGGCACAAUGGCGUAGGGGACAUCUCAUGCGCGCCUUCCAUCUUGUGCAAGUGCGGGGCUGCCCGCACAAGGACGAUGCUGGGCCUCCGCUGUAGCCGUGCCAGGGUCGAGCCGACUUUACAUCCGCACUUCCCCCUCUCCCCUCCUUUGCCCUCUCGUCCUCGUCAUGGGUACUAGUGGUCGUCAGCCACACGUAUUGUUGUUCCCCAUUGGAACGCUUGUAAGGAUUUUUUUGAGGGGAGAAAAGGGGGCUCCCCCUUUCCUGUCUAUUAUCUAGUGUGCGUGUGUGUGUGUGUAUGGUGGUGGUGGUGGCGGCUGUGGGGAGUACGUCGUCAGCCCUGCUAGAGUCCACUUGUCCUUUGUUCUCCACCCUCUCUUCAGCCACAGCUCCUCGCAUUGUACCCCACUCGUAUCCCAUGCGUUGCCGGAUCUAUCGAGCCAUUUAUUAAUCAGUUUUCAGUGUUGAUGUUGCUGUUGUCCGCCUCCUCUUUCUAGUUUUCUUUUUAUUUCGUUGCUCGUCCGUGACGAUGCCGACCACCUCAGUGCGUGAUAGCAGGACCUAGUUACUCACACUCUCUGUUGGGAAGCCAAGAGCCUGCACAGCCUGCCCUCGGGUAACAGCUGCAGGCUCUUGGUGCCGGCAGGACAGGCCUGGGCGGGCGCCGUGCGGAAGAGACUUGCGAUCAUGGCCACGUUUGGACCAGCCCACUACGGAUCGUGUCGGCGAUGCGCUGAUGCCGAGUGCAGCCCGCGGCCUGGACUACGCUGUAUGCAGUAGAACUGCAGUUGGCCGUACGACGCCAAACGGUGUUGGGCGGCCCGGCUCCUUGGCACAGCCGUAGCGCACCAGAGGUAGGUGAGCUGUGAUUGGAUGCAUAUAUUUGUUGGAAUGUUCCUGGUAGAGUGACACGUUG